CGAGCGUUGAUACCUAUGUGAACGUUCGGGCUGUAAAAUAACUCGCUCGAGCUUACGUUCGUUUCGCGCUGAAACUUGCUGAUAACGGAAUAGUCAUUGGUAAUAUCCAAAAAGAGCCAGCAAUGUGUACCACUCAUAACAAUCAAAAUGUUCAUUCAACUAUUCUAGAAGACGACCAGAAUUGUCAUGAUUACGGCAAAAACGUCUCUACUACUGACGUCAUUAUUAUCGCUCACGCCGAGCCUACAACGAUAACGACGAAAUAAGAAGUUUGGUUUGAUCUAAUUUUGGACAGGCAUGAUGACAAACCAAACCCCGGCACAGAUCACAACAACAGAGGGCUGAUACACCUUUUACAACAAGCGGAGGGCGUUUGCGUACAGUUCGAGGAUAACGCCGGCAAACAAUCAGCCCAACGCAUCUUCCCUUGCUUUCCUUCUUUAUAUUCACAUCCGCUUGUUCACGUUUCAUUUUGAUUUGAACUUUUUUCGAGCACGUUAUUAAAUUGUACAGCCAGGUAAUACCACCGCAAAUACUCAAAUCUUACAGUCAUCUUUUCACUUCUUGUAUAAUCUCGUUAUUAUCAUCCGGACAAUUUUCUGGGGCCCCGGUGUAUCACGCGGUCCGUCGUGCUUAAUUUAAAUUACUCGCUGAAGGCCCAAAUGAAGUAACAAGUAGAAAAGAAGCACGAAGCAAGAAAAAGCAAGAUUAAAGCGCGGGCGAAAUAAGACUGCGGGACGUUGGCUAGCGUCAGAAUCACUUUGUGCGCAAAUUGAGGAAUAAGCAAUAAGCAAAGAUUUAAGGAAAACUGGAGGCAAUAUCAGCCUCAACAUUUUAAAUUGGCUAUUAUGAGAAUAGAAAUUGCACAAAAGGAAAAUCCAACACAGAAGAAUAUGGAAACAAGUCAAACCCAAGUUUACGA